UACGGGGGGAGCAAGCGUUGUUCGGAUUUACUGGGCGUAAAGGGCGCGUAGGCGGCGCGACAAGUCAGCUGUGAAAUCUCCGGGCUUAACCCGGAGCGGCCAGCUGAUACUGUCGUGCUGGAGUGCGGAAGGGGCUACUGGAAUUCUCGGUGUAGCGGUGAAAUGCGUAGAUAUCGAGAGGAACACCUGUGGCGAAGGCGGGUAGCUGGGCCGACACUGACGCUGAGGCGCGAAAGCUAGGGGAGCGAACGGG
rnacentral:rRNA from 1 species